rnacentral:rRNA from 1 species
GACGAACGCUGGCGGCGCGCUUAACACAUGCAAGUCGAGCGAGAACCAGGGCUUCGGCCCUGGGGACAGCGGCGAACGGGUGAGUAACACGUGGAUAACCUGCCCUCGGCACCGGGAUAGCCCGGGGAAACCCGGAUUAAUACCGGAUGGCCCUUCCGGCUCACGAGCCGGUCGGAAAAGGUAGCUUCGGCCUCCGGCCGAGGAUGGGUCCGCGGCGGAUUAGCUUGUUGGUGGGGUAACGGCCUACCAAGGCUCCGAUGCGUAGCUGGUCUGAGAGGGCGAUCAGCCACACUGGGACUGAGACAUGGCCCAGACUCCUACGGGAGGCAGCAGUGGGGAAUCUUGCCCAAUGGGCGAAAGCCUGAGGCAGCGACGCCGCGUGAGGGAGGAAGGCCUUCGGGUUGUAAACCUCUUUCAGGAGGGACGAAGCUACUCGGGUGAAUAGCCCAGAGGGUGACGGUACCUCCAGAAGAAGCCCCGGCUAACUACGUGCCAGCAGCCGCGGUAAGAC